UACGGAGGGUGCAAGCGUUGCUCGGAAUUAUUGGGCGUAAAGGGUAGGUAGGUGGUCUCAUUUGUCUGGGGUGAAAGCCUUGAGCUUAACUCAAGAAGUGCCCCAGAAACGGUGAGACUAGAGUCCUGGAGAGGGUCGUGGAAUUCCCGGUGUAGCGGUGAAAUGCGUAGAGAUCAUGAGGAAGACCAGUGGCGAAGGCGGGUCUCUGGACAGUUCCUGACACUGAGACACGAAGGCCAGGGGAGCAAACGGG
rnacentral:rRNA from 1 species